GGCGUUGCAAAAUUGGUGGCCGAAGCAUCUGAUGGAGCGCAAAAAUGAUGGAAGCUAAACCGCUGACUAAGGAGGCCCUCGCUCUUACAGAGAAGAAGAUGGACAUGGCGUUAGACGACAUAAUCAAAAUGUCUAAGAACAAGCCAGCUAAAGGAAAGAGGGCUAGAGUUCCUAAUAAAAGCCAGAGAGCUUAUAACAAUGCUGCUCAAGAUAAAUCCAUGAAGCUGCAGCGUUUUAUGAACUCGAGAUCGUCGCUCAGACAGGGAGUUCUUGCACAGAAAAGGUCGAAUUUUCAGGGAAACCAAUUUCCUCUUGCGAAAGAGGCUGCCAGGAAGGCUGCAGUUGUUCCCUUUCGCAGUAGAGCUCCUCCUCGUGACAGGACAGUGAACUCAAACAGAACCAGGUAAAAUUGGUUCCUUUGAAAUUAGUAAUGCAGUUUGCUUCUGAUUAACAUGUACAAGCUCGCCGUGUGGUUAUGACAGUGGUUAUUUGGAAAGGGUAACUGGUUUUGGACAUUUCUUUUGAGCACUUGGAAAUUGUGCCUUCAUUCUUCAUCUUAGUAAUGACUAAGGCAAGAAAGUUGAUAAUAAUAGAUUGAGGAUCGUGUUGCACGGUUAAGGUUAGUUGUGUUGAUUGUUACUGUGAAUGGGCGUUGUGGGUUUUCGCUGAAGUAAUGGAUUUUCGCCUGUUUUUCUUGUGGGAGCUUCUAGUGCCAUGAGAGACUAUGGUUUGUUAUUGCUAUCCGGAAGCAUGGCACUUGUUGAUCUUUGCCUGUCGAGAAUCGGCAUGCACACUACUGCUAUGGUUGUGUUGGUGUCUGGAUGGCUGGAAAUUCUACUACUGAAGUCCCUAGUUUCCAUAUUUUUGAGAUUAAAGUUCGAGGGCCUUUCGUAAGACAUGGGGGUCUUAGUUAUUGUGCUGUUGAUGGCUGGGGAAGAUAUUGCCCUUUUGCAAGUUGGCAUCUGAUGCAGUGACCAUGGUUUUGGUGUUAAACUUAAGUUGAAGAUUUGAGUAGAUCCAGAAUUCCAGUAGAAUUUUGUUUGGUGAGCUACAGCUAGAAUUCCAUUUCAUUCUAGUGCUGUUGAGCAGGAAGUCACUCAUCUGAAAAGAAGAUAGAAAGAUGGAUUUACCGAUUAUUGGACGAUAGGAGGAUGAAGAGGUUUGUCUCUUGGGCUGGUCAGAUCAGAGAAAGAUUAAUAAAAGAUAUAUACGUCACCUUCAGCAGAGGCGUUUCUGAUCAGAGAUUGUUCCCUCAAGUUUUGAUUUGUUGUGUCCCGCUCUAGUUUGUCUUGAAAUUUCACUCUUUCUUUUUUUUAUAAUUAAGAGCUUAUGUUGGUAAGUCACCGAGCUUAUGAUGGUAAGUCACCGAGCUUAUGAUGGUAAGUCACCUAAACUCGACUCCUUUGGAUUCCUAGUUCUUUGCUUCCCAUAGUGAGUGGCUGGCGCCCAGUAAUUAUGUAUUAAUCAUUGAGCUGUACAUGCAAGCCUUUUACAAUCACGUGUCUACUCUCAUUGUUUCAGGGCUGGGGCUCCAUUGGCAAUGAACAGAUCAUCAAAAAAUACAAGUGGUGCUUCCAAGCAGCAGCAUCAAGGUGAAGGGAAUGGCGGCUCCAAGCAGCGGCCACAGACACUGGAUGCACGCUUUGCGAACUUGAAGGAGCAGAGAGAGAAGGUAUCGGUCUUGCCCCGCCCCGACAAUUUCACCGCCAGAAGGAAUGGAGGAGGAACCCGCAAACAGAUUCCCCCUUGGACUCGAUUCCCGAAGUAAACCCCUCCAACACCUGUAGUGGCUCCAUUUGCUUGCACGUCUUGGGUAGUAGACAACGAGAGCGCAGCUGCCCAUCAUCAAGAGGCUGCAGUCACAGCUUUCCAGUGGUUAUGACUCUGUCUAAGAUCCGUCAAAUCAUCUUAUAAGGCGAUUUGCGUGUUUUGUGGAUCCCUGCGUCUCUGACGAGAUAUUUACACAGGUUUCCAGUUUCCAGAUUCCAGAUUCGCUUGUGCCAAAGUAUGUAUAGGUGUUUUCUUCUCAUGACAUGUCAUAGUCAUACACUAUGGAAUCUUUUGAUCAAACUUACUGGAAUUUCUAUAUUCAACCUCUAGAGAUCGAAACUUGAGAUUAUGGUGUUUUCUCAUUUCA